rnacentral:rRNA from 1 species
AUAGCACCGUAGUCGGCGUAAUAAGUUUCGUCGGUGAAGGUUGUGAUGACUGCUUACAAUCGCCCUCGGGCAAUUUUUGACUCUGACCUCAAAUCAGGUAGGACUACCCGCUGAACUUAAGCAUAUCAAUAAGCGGAGGAAAAGAAACUAACAAGGAUUCCCUUAGUAGCGGCGAGCGAAGCGGGAAGAGCUCAAAUUUGAAAGCUGGCGUCCUUCGGGCGUCCGCAUUGUAAUCUAUAGAGGCGUUUUCUGUGCUGGACCGUGUCCAAGUCCCUUGGAACAGGGUAUCAAAGAGGGUGACAAUCCCGUACUUGACACGACAACCAGUGCUCUGUGAUACGUCUUCUACGAGUCGAGUUGUUUGGGAAUGCAGCUCAAAAUGGGUGGUGAAUUCCAUCUAAAGCUAAAUAUUGGCGAGAGACCGAUAGCGAACAAGUACCGUGAGGGAAAGAUGAAAAGCACUUUGGAAAGAGAGUUAAACAGUAUGUGAAAUUGUUGAAAGGGAAACGAUGGAGGUCAGUCGUGUCUGUAGGAUUCAGCCGUCUCUGGCGGUGUACUCCCUACAGACGGGUCAACAUCAGUUUUGGUCGGCGGAUAAAGGCAGGAGGAAGGUGGCACCCUCGGGUGUGUUAUAGCCUCUUGUUGCAUACGCUGGCCGAGACUGAGGAAUGCAGCUCGCCUUUAUGGCCGGGGUUCGCC